CCCGCUGAGUUUAAGCAUAUCAAUAUGCGAAGGAAAAUAAACUUACCAGGAUACCUCUAGUAAUAGCGAGCGAACCGAGAAAAGCCCAGCUUGAGAAUCGAGCGGCAUCGGCGUCCGAAUUGUCUGGAGAAGCGUCCUCAGAGGCGAACUGGGCCCAAGUCCCCUGGAAAGGGGCACCGGAGAGGGUGAGAGCCCCAUCGUGCCCAGAUCCUGUCGCACCACGAGGCGCUGUCUACGAGUCGAGUUAUUUGGGAAUGCAGCCCUAAUUGGAUGGUAAAUUCCAUCGAAGGCUAAAUACGGGCGAGAGAUCGAUAGUGAACAAGUACAGCGAGGGAAAGAUGAAAAGGACUUUGAAAAGAGAGUCAAAGAGUGCUUGAAAUUGUCGGGAAGGAAGCAGAUGGGGGAGGGCGAUGCGCCCCGGUCGGAUGUGGAAUGGUGAGAGCCAGUCCACCGAUCGACUCGGGGCGUGGACCGACGCGAGUCGUGGCAGUGGCCCAAGCCUGGGACUUUGAUACGCCUGUGGAGACGUCGUCGCCUCGAUUGUGGGAUCCAGCACGGGCCGUCUCGGCGUGCUUUGGCACCUGUGUGCUCAGGGCAUCGGCCUACGGGCUCCCCAUUCGACCCGUCUUGAAACACGG
rnacentral:ncRNA from 1 species